rnacentral:lncRNA from 1 species
CACGUCCAGGUGUUUUGCCGUCUCAACCGCAUCAGGAAUCUUUCAGGUCCAUUAUAAUCUGGUCUUGAAACACUGUCAUCAUCCUCCUCAGAUUGCGAGUGCUCACAAAGGACUGUGAUGAUUGACAGCUGGCUGAACACGCUGGAAAGGAGAAGACAUAGAGGCGGUGAAAUUGUGUCCCUCUGGCUGCCAAGUGAAUGAGUCAGGGAGUGAAUGAGUUUCCUGUGUGCCCACUGUGUGCCAGGCGCUGAGGACGGCCCUGGAGAGAGAAAGUGUACAGGCCCUCAUGUGCCAAGGAGGUCUGUCUGGCCAACUCCCUUCCAUGGAUUUGCAGGCGCGGGAAGCAUGUGGAAGGCCGUGUUCGUGUUGCAGAGAAGGUUGGCUGCUGAGCCAGGGCGUGUCUGCAGGAGGCCUGCCAGGCUGCCCGGAUCCCCACCUCACCACCAUGGGCCACCCAGGCUGGUCAGUUCCAGUCCUUGAUUUCGCCACGGUUCCCUGCCCUUGGCACUGGGGGAAGGCCGGACCCAAUUGCUCAAGUCCCAGGUUUCUGGCAUCA